GAUGAACGCUGGCGGCGUGCCUAAUACAUGCAAGUCGAGCGAACAGACGAGGAGCUUGCUCCUCUGACGUUAGCGGCGGACGGGUGAGUAACACGUGGAUAACCUACCUAUAAGACUGGGAUAACUUCGGGAAACCGGAGCUAAUACCGGAUAAUAUAUUGAACCGCAUGGUUCAAUAGUGAAAGACGGUUUUGCUGUCACUUAUAGAUGGAUCCGCGCCGCAUUAGCUAGUUGGUAAGGUAACGGCUUACCAAGGCAACGAUGCGUAGCCGACCUGAGAGGGUGCUCGCCCACACGGAAACGGAGACACGGCCAACACUCCUAGGGGGGGAGGCGGGAGGAAAUCUCCCGCAGGGGGCGAAAGUUUGACGGAGCAGCGCCGCGGGAGUGAUGAUGUUUUUCGGAUCUAAAAACUUUUUUAUGGGGGAAAAAAAAAUGUGAAAGUAAUUAGCCACGUCUUGACGUAACCUAAUAAGAAAGCCCCGGCUAACUACGUG
rnacentral:rRNA from 1 species